CUUCAACUUCAACUCUGUGGGAAGUCCCCUCGGUCCAUGCAGGUCUUAUUAGUCUUGCUCCAGAAACCCACAGCCUUGCUGUCAUAACAAAGGAAGUGUGCGCUUGUGAGGACCACUUUGCAAACUGAUGCAGCCAGAGAAGGGCACCUUGCUGCGUACUAAUGAUGCUUUAAUCACAUGUUCCUGACGUGACUGCCUAGGGAGAGUCGAGCAGUUUGUGCUGAUCUCAGUGCAGCUGAGGAAGACUGGGCCAAAGGGAAGCAUAAGACAAGAUGGAGGUCAUGAACCAUAUGGUAUCACCAAGGAAAUCAUAAUGAUGUUUGAUAUUAAAACCAGAAAAAUUAACCACUUUCAAGAA